ensembl:lncRNA
AUGUCAAGCCGCCUCUCCCUCUGCCGACUGCCUGCCUGCCUGCCUGCCUGCCUGCCUGUGCCAAGAAGCCUACCCGAAUCGAGGGAAGAGAGAACGAUGCCCGGGAGCGCCUUAACUUCACGCCGGGCGCAAGGGCGGAAGGGGGCCGAUUGGUUGACAGCCGGCUGCCUUGCCUUAAGAAGCAGGGCGUCUGAUGUCAGUGAGUGGGGCGGUUUCGUUGGGGGCGAGAGGCCUGGCCGACCUUGCGAGGGUCUUCCCCACGCCCCUGGUGCAUUUCAACGUGCGGCGAGGGUGAGGGGUGUGGAGAUCACGCUGGCGAGUGCCCCAGGCCCCUGCAGACCAGGCCGCUUUCUCCCCCUGGGGGUGCCAGAGAAGGGCAGAGCGUUGCUGUUACGGCAGGUGUCCGCCAGACGGCGCCGCCGGCAGAGCUGCUCUGGCUCUGCCUGGCUGCAACUCCAGGCUCAGAAUGGGCCUGGAGCAGGAUGGAAGGAAACGCAAGGAGGGCCCAGACAGAGCCUUGUGUUGGUGUACCGGGUACCUGUGACGCUGUGGCCGUUUUGUGUCAACAUGCAGUCUGUGCCCCAGCAACUGGAGCGCUGGACGGGCCGUCGAGGGCCUGCGUGCCCUUUGCUCCUUGGGCCUGCGUGCCCUUUGCUCCUUGGGGGGCACGGCGCUGGGACCCAGGAGGACCCAGCUUGAGUCCUGGACAUGCGGAUUUCUAGAGUCAGGCAGGGGAGGCAUCCGGCCUCUGGAAGGCUGGGCUUCAGGUAGUGAAGGCGGUGUGUCACUGCGGUGGUAUCUGGGGAGGCGUGCCGAGCCUCUCGUGUGCGCGUCCCCUCCAGAAAUCUCCACAUCCCCUGCUUCUCUCUCCACCAGAGCCGCCUCUCCCUCUGCCGACUGCCUGCCUGCCUGCCUGCCUGCCUGCCUGCCUGCCUGUGCCAAGAAGCCUACCCGAAUCGAGGGAAGAGAGAACGAUGCCCGGGAGCCUUAACUUCACGCCGGGCGCAAGGGCGGAAGGGGCCGAUUGGUUGACAGCCGGCUGCCUUGCCUUAAGGAGCAGGGCGUCUGAUGUCAGUGAGUGGGGCGGUUUCGUUGGGGGCGAGAGGCCUGGCCGACCUUGCGAGGGUCUUCCCCACGCCCCUGGUGCAUUUCAACGUGCGGCGAGGGUGAGGGGUGUGGAGAUCACGCUGGCGAGUGCCCCAGGCCCCUGCAGACCAGGCCGCUUUCUCCCCCUGGGGGUGCCAGAGAAGGGCAGAGCGUUGCUGUUACGGCAGGUGUCCGCCAGACGGCGCCAAAGCGCCGGCAGAGCUGCUCUGGCUCUGCCUGGCUGCAACUCCAGGCUCAGAAUGGGCCUGGAGCAGGAUGGAAGGAAACGCAAGGAGGGCCCAGACAGAGCCUUGUGUUGGUGUACCGGGUACCUGUGACGCUGUGGCCGUUUUGUGUCAACAUGCAGUCUGUGCCCCAGCAACUGGAGCGCUGGACGGGCCGUCGAGGGCCUGCGUGCCCUUUGCUCCUUGGGGGGCACGGCGCUGGGACCCAGGAGGACCCGGCUUGAGUCCUGGACAUGCGGAUUUCUAGAGUCAGGCAGGGGAGGCAUCCGGCCUCUGGAAGGCUGGGCUUCAGGUAGUGAAGGCGGUGUGUCACUGCGGUGGUAUCUGGGGAGGCGUGCCGAGCCUCUCCGUGUGCGCGUCCCCUCCAG